UUGAGAUGUAUUAAACGAGGAUGG
rnacentral:siRNA from 1 species